UACGUAGGGGGCAAGCGUUGUCCGGAAUCAUUGGGCGUAAAGAGCGUGUAGGCGGCCUGGUAAGUCCGCUGUGAAAGUCCAGGGCUCAACCCUGGAAUGCCGGUGGAAACUGUCAGGCUCGAGUCCGGAAGAGGCGAGUGGAAUUCCUGGUGUAGCGGUGAAAUGCGCAGAUAUCAGGAGGAACACCAAGGGGGAAGGCAGCUCGCUGGGACGGUACUGACGCUGAGACGCGAAAGCGUGGGGAGCAAACAGG
rnacentral:rRNA from 1 species